rnacentral:rRNA from 1 species
AGUGAACGCUGGCGGUAGGCCUAACACAUGCAAGUCGAACGGCAGCACAGUAAGAGCUUGCUCUUACGGGUGGCGAGUGGCGGACGGGUGAGGAAUACAUCGGAAUCUACUUUUUCGUGGGGGAUAACGUAGGGAAACUUACGCUAAUACCGCAUACGACCUACGGGUGAAAGCAGGGGAUCUUCGGACCUUGCGCGAUUGAAUGAGCCGAUGUCGGAUUAGCUAGUUGGCGGGGUAAAGGCCCACCAAGGCGACGAUCCGUAGCUGGUCUGAGAGGAUGAUCAGCCACACUGGAACUGAGACACGGUCCAGACUCCUACGGGAGGCAGCAGUGGGGAAUAUUGGACAAUGGGCGCAAGCCUGAUCCAGCCAUACCGCGUGGGUGAAGAAGGCCUUCGGGUUGUAAAGCCCUUUUGUUGGGAAAGAAAAGCAGCAGGUUAAUACCCCGCUGUUCUGACGGUACCCAAAGAAUAAGCACCGGGUGACUUCGUG